ncrna:Serratia plymuthica 4Rx13 L25-Gammaproteobacteria ribosomal protein leader
CCUGUUACUGGGUCGCCUUAACAGG